UUGGAAUUUUGUGUAAAUAUUAACCACCAAAAUAUAAGUAUUUAUAAUUUCACUACUCAAUACUACCCAUUUUUUUCCAGGCGCUCAACCUCACCCGAGUGAGUUUUUUUUAUUGUUUAACACCAAAAGUAAUCAUACAAAUCUUUCCAAAACAUACACUGAGUAAUAUGUUCAUUUAUGGAAUUUUGUAUAAACAAUUACCGUAGAAAUAUAAGCAUUUAUAAUUUCACUACUCAAUACUACCCAUUUUUUUUCCAGCGGCUCAACAACCAGCUGGGCCUUAUGUAACUGGACUAACUUCAUCAGAUUCAUCAGAUUCAUCAUCGUCAAGGACUCCCUGGUGUCAUCCUCUACCAACCCCCCCCUGAAAAUGACAAGAUUUUUUAAGAAACCAACGACGUUAGCGACACCAGCCGCGCAAUCGCCGAACGGUCAGACUAUAU